rnacentral:tRNA from 1 species
ACCUGAGUGGCUCAGUCGGUUAAGCAUCUGACUUCAGCUCAGGUCAUGAUCUCGCGGUUUGUGAGUUCGAGCCCCGCGUCAGGUG